rnacentral:rRNA from 1 species
AUUGAACGCUGGCGGCAUGCCUUACACAUGCAAGUCGAACGGCAGCACGGGUGCUUGCACCUGGUGUCGAGUGGCGAACGGGUGAGUAAUACAUCGGAACACGUCCUGUAGUGGGGGAUAGCCCUGCGAAAGCCGGAUUAAUACCCCAUACGAUCUACGGAUGACAGCGGGGGACCUUCGGGCCUCGCGCUAUAGGGUUGGGAGUUGGCGGAUUAGCUAGUUGUUGGGGUAAAGGCCUACCAAGAGGACGAUCGGUAGCUGCUCUGAGAGGAGGACAGGCGACAUUGGAACGGGGACAGGGCCAAGGCGCCUACGGGAGGCAGCAGUGGGGAACUUUGGGCAGUGGGCGAGAGCCUGAUCCAGCAAUGCGGAGUGUGUGAAGGAGGCGUUGGGGUUGUAAAGCACUUUUGUCCGGAGAGAAACGCUUGGCCCUAAUACGGUCGGGGGAUGACGGUACCGGAAGAAGAAACACCGGCUAACUACGU